GUACAAACAGGCUUUAUGUACGCUUUUGUGCUUUGGCUCGACAUCUUGUACUUCUGAUGCUGGCGUGACAAGAACAUUCUCUGAGUGAUCACUGGUCCUCGUUAGAGAGACCUGGAGACCCACAGACUGAAGCAGGGCUGCUCCAGCCAACUUGCAGAACUGUACAGGAGAGAAGUGUCACUGCGAGCCGCUAAGACUCAAAGACGACUUGUUACACAGCACUAUUACUACAGCAGGAGGUUUGGAAGGCGGCCAGGGAAGAGUUUUAUUCAUG
rnacentral:lncRNA from 1 species